UCAAAAGUCCUUGUACUUUCAGGAACCAGAACUGCCAGAGUGAACCCCAGUCCAACCAGACGUCUCUUCAGUAUUCCAGACAGCAUCCCAGACAGCACUAGCAGCUGGCUGAGUCGUAGCUCCUCUUACACCCGACGCCUCAAUAGUACAGGAAGUGAUCUCAGUAGCUCCACCCCCUCCUUGCCUCUCAGCUCAUCCUAUGGACGCAAACCGGAUGACCCCACGGGGACAGGAAGUAGCUCCUCUGCUGGACUCAGUCGACUCAACGUCCUGGUGGC